rnacentral:rRNA from 1 species
GUUAGGAAUAUUGGACAAUGGGCGCAAGCCUGAUCCAGCCAUGCCGCGUGAGUGAUGAAGGCCUUCGGGUUGUAAAGCUCUUUAGCCGAUGAUUAUAAUGACUGUAGUCGGAAAAUAAGCCCCGGCUAACUUCGUGCCAGCAGCCGCGGUAAUACGAAGGGGGCGAGCGUUAUUCGGAAUCACUGGGCGUAAAGCGUGCGUAGGCGGCUUUGCAAGUUGGGAGUGAAAGCCCAGGGCUCAACCCUGGAAUUGCUCUCAAAACUGCAAGGCUCGAAUUCGGGAGAGGAUAGCGGAAUUGUCAGUGUAGCAGUGAAAUGCGUAGAUAUUGACAGGAACACCAGUGGCGUAAGCGGCUAUCUGGACCGAUAUUGACGCUGAGGCACGAAAGCGUGGGGAUCAAACAGGAUUAGAUACCCCGGUAGUCC